GAUGAACGCUGGCGGCGUGCCUAAUACAUGCAAGUCGAGCGAACGGACGAGAAGCUUGCUUCUCUGAUGUUAGCGGCGGACGGGUGAGUAACACGUGGAUAACCUACCUAUAAGACUGGGAUAACUUCGGGAAACCGGAGCUAAUACCGGAUAAUAUUUUGAACCGCAUGGUUCAAAAGUGAAAGACGGUCUUGCUGUCGCUUAUAGAUGGAUCCGCGCUGCAUUAGCUAGUUGGUAAGGUAACGGCUUACCAAGGCAACGAUGCAUAGCCGACCUGAGAGGGUGAUCGGCCACACUGGAACUGAGACACGGUCCAGACUCCUACGGGAGGCAGCAGUAGGGAAUCUUCCGCAAUGGGCGAAAGCCUGACGGAGCAACGCCGCGUGAGUGAUGAAGGUCUUCGGAUCGUAAAACUCUGUUAUUAGGGAAGAACAUAUGUGUAAGUAACUGUGCACAUCUUGACGGUACCUAAUCAGAAAGCCACGGCUAACUACGUGCCAGCAGCCGCGGUAAUACGUAGGUGGCAAGCGUUAUCCGGAAUUAUUGGGCGUAAAGCGCGCGUAGGCGGUUUUUUAAGUCUGAUGUGAAAGCCCACGGCUCAACCGUGGAGGGUCAUUGGGAACUGGAAAACUUGAGUGCAGAAGAGGAAAGUGGAAUUCCAUGUGUAGCGGUGAAAUGCGCAGAGAUAUGGAGGAACACCAGUGGCGAAGGCGACUUUCUGGUCUGUAACUGACGCUGAUGUGCGAAAGCGUGGGGAUCAAACAGGAUUAGAUACCCUGGUAGUCCACGCCGUAAACGAUGAGUGCUAAGUGUUAGGGGGUUUCCGCCCCUUAGUGCUGCAGCUAACGCAUUAAGCACUCCGCCUGGGGAGUACGACCGCAAGGUUGAAACUCAAAGGAAUUGACGGGGACCCGCACAAGCGGUGGAGCAUGUGGUUUAAUUCGAAGCAACGCGAAGAACCUUACCAAAUCUUGACAUCCUUUGACAACUCUAGAGAUAGAGCCUUCCCCUUCGGGGGACAAAGUGACAGGUGGUGCAUGGUUGUCGUCAGCUCGUGUCGUGAGAUGUUGGGUUAAGUCCCGCAACGAGCGCAACCCUUAAGCUUAGUUGCCAUCAUUAAGUUGGGCACUCUAAGUUGACUGCCGGUGACAAACCGGAGGAAGGUGGGGAUGACGUCAAAUCAUCAUGCCCCUUAUGAUUUGGGCUACACACGUGCUACAAUGGACAAUACAAAGGGCAGCGAAACCGCGAGGUCAAGCAAAUCCCAUAAAGUUGUUCUCAGUUCGGAUUGUAGUCUGCAACUCGACUACAUGAAGCUGGAAUCGCUAGUAAUCGUAGAUCAGCAUGCUACGGUGAAUACGUUCCCGGGUCU
rnacentral:rRNA from 1 species